rnacentral:rRNA from 1 species
GAACUCUUCGGAGGGAAGCGAGUGGAAUGAGCGGCGGACGGGUGAGUAACACGUAAGGAACCUGCCUCAAGGAUUGGGAUAACUCCGAGAAAUCGGAGCUAAUACCGGAUAGUUCUUCGGACCGCAUGGUCCGAUGAUGAAAGGCGCUUCGGCGUCACCUUGAGAUGGCCUUGCGGUGCAUUAGCUAGUUGGUGGGGUAAUGGCCUACCAAGGCGACGAUGCAUAGCCGACCUGAGAGGGUGAUCGGCCACACUGGGACUGAGACACGGCCCAGACUCCUACGGGAGGCAGCAGUAGGGAAUCUUCCACAAUGGACGAAAGUCUGAUGGAGCAACGCCGCGUGAGUGAUGAAGGUUUUCGGAUCGUAAAACUCUGUUGUAAGGGAAGAACAGAUACGAGAGGUAAUGCUCGUAUCCUGACGGUACCUUGCGAGAAAGCCACGGCUAACUACGUGCCAGCAGCCGCGGUAAUACGUAGGUGGCAAGCGUUGUCCGGAAUUAUUGGGCGUAAAGCGCGCGCAGGCGGCCUUUUAAGUCUGAUGUGAAAGCCCCCGGCUCAACCGGGGAGGGUCAUUGGAAACUGGAAGGCUUGAGUACAGAAGAGAAGAGUGGAAUUCCAUGUGUAGCGGUGAAAUGCGUAGAGAUGUGGAGGAACACCAGUGGCGAAGGCGACUCUUUGGUCUGUAACUGACGCUGAGGCGCGAAAGCGUGGGGAGCAAACAGGAUUAGAUACCCUGGUAGUCCACGCCGUAAACGAUGAGUGCUAGGUGUUGGGGGGUUUCCGCCCCUCAGUGCUGAAGCUAACGCAUUAAGC